rnacentral:rRNA from 1 species
GACGAACGCUGGCGGCGUGCUUAACACAUGCAAGUCGAGCGGUAAGGCCCUUUCGGGGGUACACGAGCGGCGAACGGGUGAGUAACACGUGGGUGACCUGCCCUCAGCUCUGGGAUAAGCCUGGGAAACUGGGUCUAAUACCGGAUAUGACUCCAUGACGCAUGUUGUGGGGUGGAAAGCCUUGUGCGGCUGAGGAUGGGCCCGCGGCCUAUCAGCUUGUUGGUGGGGNGAUGGCCUACCAAGGCGACGACGGGUAGCCGGCCUGAGAGGGCGACCGGCCACACUGGGACUGAGACACGGCCCAGACUCCUACGGGAGGCAGCAGUGGGGAAUCUUGCGCAAUGAGCGAAAGCCUGACGCAGCGACGCCGCGUGAGGGAUGACGGCCUGG